AUGGAACAGCCGGCGCGCCAUACGAACGACGACGGGUCGCGCACUACGAGUAGGGCGCUGGUCGGCUCCGAAACCCCGAAGAGGAGGAAGAAGAAGAAGAUCGUGGAAGAAAGUGGACGUAGACUCGCCAACAAUUGAGGCCGAGGCUAUUUGACUUAGCCAGUGGCGGAAGGAAAGAUCGUUACAAGCAAAGAGUGUCCAAAUUAAAGAUCCGCGAGAGGACUUGAGUCCCGCAAAGCACGAAGAAGAGCCAGAGCAUUGUUGAAGACAAAUAGAGAAUAAAUCGAGAAAGAUGUCGUCUUCAGCGGUUGCUAAAACCUCUAAGUACACGUACCGUUCUGGCGGUGCGGGUGGAACUACCGAUGUUAGCAUCGAAUACAGCGCCGACCUGAGCGCUCUCACCAGACUCGAGGACAAAAUCCGCCUACUACAGGAUGACCUGGAGUCUGAAAGAGAGCUGCGUCAGAGGAUCGAACGCGAGCGCGCUGACUUAAGCGUGCAAGUCAUCCAACUAUCCGAACGUCUCGAAGAAGCCGAGGGUGGCGCCGAAUCUCAAUUUGAGAUCAACAAGAAGAGGGACACGGAACUGGCCAAGCUGCGUAAACUACUCGAAGAUGUCCAUCUCGAAAGCGAGGAGACCGCACACCUCUUGCGCAAAAAGCACCAAGAGGUCGUCGUUGAUUUUCAAGAUCAGAUUGAUCAACUUUCGAAAGCACGCGCUAGGGCUGACAAGGAAAAAUCUAAAUUCCAGCAGGAAGUGUAUGAGCUCCUCGCCCAACUUGACAAUGUCACUAAAGAAAAGAUGAUGUCAAUUAAAACAGUUGAGAAACUCGAGAUACACAUAUCUGAAUUGAACGUAAAAAUCGAGGAAUUAAAUCGCACGAUUGUCGAUAUUACUAGUCACAAAACUCGGCUGUCUCAAGAGAAUAUUGAAUUAGUCAAAGAGGUGCAAGAUCUUAAGGUGAACAUUGAGAACAUUUCCUAUCUGAAAACGCAAAUCGCGGGUCAACUCGAGGAUGCCCGCCGUCGGCUGGAAGAUGAAGAACGUCGUCGUUCAUUGAUCGAAGCUUCUUUGCAUCAGGUUGAGGUGGAAUUGGAGUCCGUUCGCGUUCAGCUGGAAGAAGAAUCUGAAGCGCGUUUGGAUAUUGAACGUCAAUUGGUUAAAGCUAAUGGAGAAGUUUCGAUAUGGAGGUCAAAAUACGAGACUGAAGCUAAUGCUCGUAUCGAAGAGGUAGAAGAACUUCGUCGCAAAUAUUCUGCUCGCAUUCAAGAACAGGAAGAACAAAUCGAGACCUUACUUGUGAAAAUUAAUAAUCUUGAGAAGCAGAAAUCGCGCUUACAAUCCGAAGUGGAAGUUUUGAUCAUUGAUUUAGAAAAGGCCAAUGGAACUGCUCGUGAACUUCAAAAGCGUGUUGAACAUCUUGAAAAGAUCAACAUAGAAUUGAAGUCUCGCUUGGAUGAAACUCUCGCCAUGUACGAACAAAGCCAGCGAGAUCUCCGCAACAAACAACAAGAGCUACAGCGCACAAAUGCCGAACUCGACAAGACUCGUGAAAUGAAAGAUCAAUUGGCCCGCGAGAAUAAGAAACUUGGAGAUGAUCUUAGCGACGCAAAGAAUCAAUUGGCUGACAUGAAUCGCAGACUCCAUGAACUGGAGCUAGAACUCCGCCGAUUGGAGAACGAACGUGAAGAAUUGGCUGCUGCCUAUAAGGAAGCUGAAGCAGGCCGCAAAAUUGAAGAGCAACGUGCUCAGAAAUUGUCAGCCGAAUUGAGCCAAAUGCGUCACGAGUUCGAACGUCGCCUUAAUGAAAAGGACGAAGAGAUUGAGGCUAUUCGCAAACAGACCAGCAUUGAAAUCGAGCAGUUGAACGCUCGUGUGGUGGAAGCCGAGACGAGACUGAAGACGGAGGUUCAGCGUAUAAAGAAGAAGAUGCAGAUCCAAAUCACUGAGCUCGAAUUGUCCUUGGACGUCGCCAACAAGAAUAACAUCGAUUUGCAGAAGACCAUCAAGAAGCAAGCUCUCACUUUGACCGAACUGCAAGCUCAUUACGAUGAGGUACAACGCCAAUUGCAAGUGACCCUGGAUCAACUGGGCAUUAGUCAACGUCGUCUCCAAUCAUUGACGGCCGAGCUCGAGGAAGUCCGCGGCAAUUACGAAUCCGCUUUGCGCGCGAAGAGAACUGUCGAGCAGCAAUACGAGGAAUCGGUUAGCCGCAUCAACGAGCUAACUACGAUCAACGUAAAUCUGUCUUCAAUGAAAGCUAAAAUAGAGCAAGAACUGGCCACCUUGGCUGGAGAUUACGAAGAGGUUACUAAGGAAUUGAGAGUUAGCGAUGAGAGAUAUCAGAGAGUGCAGACUGAACUCAAGCACACCGUCGAGAUUCUUCAUGAGGAACAGGAGCGUAUUGUCAAGAUCGAGGCUAUCAAGAAGUCACUGGAAAUCGAGGUGAAGAACUUGUCCAUCAGAUUGGAAGAGGUCGAGGCCAACGCUAUUGUUGGAGGCAAGCGCAUCAUCAGCAAGCUCGAAGCCAGGAUCCGCGAUCUAGAACUGGAAUUGGACGAAGAAAAGCGCCGACAUGCUGAGACCGUGAAGAUACUGCGCAAGAAGGAGCGCAACAUUAAGGAGGUAAUGAUUCAAGUUGAAGAGGACGCGAAGAACAUUGCCUUGCUGCAGGAAACGCUUGACAAAGCCUCCCAGAAGGUCAGCAUCUACAAGAGACAGCUGCAGGAGCAGGAAGGCAUGUCCCAACAGAGCGUCACCAGAGUCCGCCGAUUCCAAAGAGAACUCGAGGCCGCGGAGGAUCGCGCCGACACGGCGGAGAGCAAUUUGACCCUGAUACGCGCCAAACACCGCAGCUUUGUCACCACUUCAACCGUGCCCGGUUCCCAGGUGUACCUCGUCCAGGAGACGAGGCAGGAUUUGUAAAAUAACCAUCAUCUUACCCUUUGCCACUUCGAACGCAUGUCGUCGUCUUUACGAACGCACAUUGAACACCUUAGGAGAAAAAAGGAAGAGAAAGAAGACGCGACAUCAAUCAUACUAAAGAGGCCAAGAGAGAGAAAGAGUUUUCAACGGGCCGUACAGCAUGUUAUUUUCGAGGGGUUUAAAUUGGAGCAACCAGAAUAUGUACCUAUAAACGUAUGAACAUCGAUGCGAGUACGGUGUUUACUGUCACGUGACGACCCGUCGCAAAUUCGAAACUGCUUGGCCAACGAAAUGCGAUACAUCGCAACGAAAAUGUUAAAAUAAAAGAAAAUUAACGCUCAUUACUUUACGAGAUUUACUCAAAGUAUCGAAAACGUCAAAAUUAAGAAUCGUUAUAUCGUUUAACAGAUGAACAAAUAAAAUCUAACAAUCUUCUCGUCCUAAUUAUGUGAAUAUAUUCGAAUGUGAGGGCAGAGAAAAACGGAUAAGAAGCACAAGAAGAGAGCAAUGGCAAUCUACGCCAUUGCAUACGCGCGUGUCGCAAUUGUAUUUAAAUGGAUAAUUUUAAUUCUAUUCUAUUACUAUAUAGAUAGGUAACUAUUGCCCAUAUACACGACUCUCACUGUACAACAUACACAAUAACCUGUGUCAACAUUAAUUUAAUAAAUAAAGUGAAACACGUACGUACGAAAA